rnacentral:lncRNA from 1 species
UUGUAUCCUAUUAUUCCCACAUGAAAAAACACUCCUACAUGAAAUAGUUAAGUUAAAUACCAUCUGAUCUCUCAUAUCACGUUACUUUCAGUACCCUUACUGGGUGCUCGUUUGGAAAUGAUGAGUCAUUUUGUUUCCUUUAUUGUUUCUGGAGGACAUGUUAAGACAUCCAUACAUCUCAUGAAAGAGCUGUCCAGAGUCUAGACAACACAGAAAGUGGUCAUUUUGGUCUUUUGGAACUUUAAAUAGUUCCCAUCACUUCCUGGAUUUACUUUGGCUACAGACAUCUUCUCCAUAUAAACCCAAGAAAAGAUGGCCACUAAUACUGAAUAAUACAUGAUUCCACAUACCUCCAGGCUCAUAAAUAUUCAGGGUGCUCAGACUACUUCUAAAGUAUAUAUAUUUAGUCAAGAGAACAACAGCUUCAGUGCUGCCCAGAAAAGCUAUGCUCCACGCUUGUGCCUCAUUCACAAUGGCUUCCUGGUGAAGAAUCCAGAUUUUAUUGGAGGAGGUAAUGAAGUCACCUCAAGUAUUUCAUUUUCUAGCACUCUUGGUCAAUUGUCGACAAAAGUAUUGUGUGGGCUCUCUCUGCCGAAAAGAAGCUGACUCAGCUGCUUCCUGGACUGUGAACAAAGUGGCAGAAAUUUGGGCAGUCAACUUGGACUAUGAGAUGACCUUGGGGAUAGAAGCCACAAACUAGGAGGUAGAAGAGAAAGAUGGAAGGAACAUGAGCCCUGAGUACUCUGGAACCUGCAAAGUUUUGCCUACAUACUCCAGAUUCCCUUUGCCUGAGAGAAAAGUAAAAUUUUAUUUUGUUUAAGCCUUUUAUAUUUUGUGUUUUUUUCUGUAAUGUAGAGCACAUCAAAUUCUAAGUGAUAGAAGUAACAUUUUCGGUUCCAUGGAAUACUAUUUUUGUUCUAGGUGUUUUGAUCAAAAAGUAAAUAAACAAACAAUCCCCCAAAACA